GUUAACUUUUAGAAAGUAUUCUCGCACCGUAUAAAUACAUCUCAUUUUUCUCUGUUUUGUCAGUAGUUGUUUUUGGUAUUAUUCGUGCAACGUGGAAGCUAACUUAGUGGUUUGGUGUUCGUACAAAAAAGCAGUCCUAAAGAUCAUCUUAGUACUCUCAACCCGUAACCGCAAAUAGAAUAGCAGCCAAUCUUAAGCAUGGACUUAAGUCAACUGAAUCAAACCUGUCUUGCAGAAGGUGAUUUUGAGCAGCCGAUUGUCAAACUGCAUGAAUUGCCGAUAGGCGUUCCGUUUAAAAUUACUAGAGCCAAAAUUGUUAAUACAAAAUUUGGCAAUUCCGUGUUGCUGCAAUUAGAAAAUUCCGUAGUAUUUCUUCCUACUCGCGUGACAGAAGCUUUCCGUCCGAGACUAGAACACUUUGCGUCGGGGCAGUACAAACUGGUCUACGAGGGAUCCAAAGAUAUUGGAAAGCCCAACUCUUUAAAGAAAUUCAAAAUAAUUCAAAAUUAAUCAACAUAUUAUACAGGAUUAUGGUCAAACAACUUACAUUAGAAAGCCUUUGUAUUAUAACAAUUUGCGAAAAUAUUAGGUGUAGUGCUGAUUUUUUGCUUGAGUCACCUUUGCCUUGGAAACUAACGAUACUAAUAUUUAAAUAUUAUUCGAAAUAUAGAUGGAAGUACCUUAAACAAUUAGCGCUCCAGUCUGAUGGCAAUUCUUUAUUAAAUUUAGAAUUCAUUCUGUUGAAUAAGAGAUUUGGAUCGUCUUACAGAAAUAGCAUUUUGGCAACUCCAACCAUUGAUUUUGACGGAGAAUCCGCUUACUGUUUAUGGGUCAGUUAUUACAGGAUAAAAUAUUCGGAAAUUUUAGUUUGUAAAUCUUGUCACUUUAUAUUUCAACUAGUUAAAAAAUUUAAAAAGAAAAAUUUUAGACUUUUAUUGGAUCACUAUCAUUUACAGCUGGAUAUAAAUAAUUUGAAUGAUGUAUAUCACGAUAAACAAUUUUGGUGUCAAAGCUGCUUUGAAGAAGUUUUGUUCACUGUAGAAACUGAAGAUGAAUGUAAUUUAAUGCUUCACGAUGAGAGGAAAUAUGGAAAAAAGUUACGCUUUUCUGAUAGUCCAUUGAACUAUUAAUACUGUGGUUUUAUUAUAACAUAUGUAACUGUAGAUAAGACUUUUAUGUAUUGAUUGUAUUCCAUUGUAUUGCAACAAGAAUAAACAUGUAUAUAUUUAGACGCUAUUUUCUUUUUUACCACCACCACAACACCGCAUAAUAAUUACACAGAAGUUUGUAAUUGUAUAAUUUAUUUAUUAUAUACAUUAUUACUAUUUUACAAUUUCGUUAAAUGCUAAAUU